AAAUGCGAUAAGUAGUGUGAAUUGCAGAAUUCAGUGAAUCAUCGAAUCUUUGAACGCACAUUGCGCCCCUCGGUAUUCCGUGGGGCAUGCCUGUUCGAGCGUCAUCUACACCCUCAAGCUCUGCUUGGUGUUGGGCGUCUGUCCCGCCUCCGCGCGCGGACUCGCCCCAAAUGCAUUGGCAGUGGUUCCUUGCCCCCCUCUUUGCGCAGCACAUUGCCAUUCGAGGCGGCGGCGGCCCGCGUCCAACAAGCUCAACCCCCCCGUCUUUGACCUCGGAUCAGGUAGGGAUACCCGCUGAACUUAAGC
rnacentral:misc_RNA from 1 species